GUGUCGGUAGUGUAGCGGCUCAGCACGCGCUUUUGGAAAGAAUGAGAUCUGAGUUCGAAUUCCAGCUGACGCA